GUCCGGGAGCGCGGUGUGUUUGGCCUUUCCGUCCGGAUGGAGUUCCUGCUCCAGCUUCCUAGGACUGAGUCUUCCACGUGCCAUGGUCCCGAACUCAGGUCCUUUCCCUGAAGGGCCCCUCUUAAAGCUGCUACCUGUAGAUGCUAGGGACCGGGGCACCCAGCGCUGUCGCCUGGGUCCCGCCGCCCUCCGCACCUUGGGUGCGCGUGUGGGCUCGGCAGUGAGGAUCUUGCUGCCCGAAGGCGGCUCCUGCCUCUGCACUGCCUGGCCGCGGCGGGACGGAGCUGAUGGUUUUGUGCAGCUGGACCUGCAGUGCGCAAGUCCCGGGGCGGCGGUGGGGGAGCGGGGUUCCCCGGGGACUCUCAGCCUGAGCCGCCUCAGCCUGGUACCCUGCCCGCCCCUGCGGCGCCUCUCUGUGUGGCCAGUGUUGCGAAUGCCCGCAGGCGCGCCGAGUGCCCCGAGUCCAGCCGCGGUGCUGGAAGCCGCGCAGGAGCUGCUGAGGAACCGACCGGUCUCCCAGGGCCACGUGGUGGCCGCUCCGCCGGGCGACCCAGGCCCUGUGACCGCCCUGCACAUCAUCGGCGGGACACCCAACCCGGAUCCAGCGGGGCUUGUCACCCCUCGAACCUGCAUCGCUCUCUGCCGGGAGCCUCCGUCAGCGGCGGAGCCACAGCCCGAGGUGUCCCUAGGGGGCCUUUCGGAGGCGGCCGACUCGCUGCGGGAGCUCCUCCGCCUGCCGCUCCGCUAUCCCAGCACCCUGGCCGCGCUGGGGCUAGCUGUGCCCCGUGGGGUGCUCCUGGUGGGUCCUCCCGGAGUGGGCAAGACCCAGCUGGUGCGGGCGGUGGCCCGGGAAGCGGGCGCAGAGCUGCUGGCGGUGAGUGCUCCGGCGCUGCAGGGCUCCCGGCCUGGGGAGACGGAGGAGAACGUGCGGCGGGUCUUUCAGCGCGCCCGGGAGCUGGCCAGCCGAGGGCCUAGCCUGCUUUUCCUGGACGAGGUGGACGCCCUGUGUCCGCGGAGGGGCGGCCCACACCGGACCCCCGAGAGCCGCGUGGUGGCCCAGGUGUUGACGCUCCUGGACGGCGUCUGCGGGGACCGCGAGGUGGUUGUUGUGGGAGCCACCAAUAGGCCAGACGCGCUAGACCCAGCACUUCGCAGACCCGGGAGAUUUGACCGAGAGGUUAUCAUCGGGACUCCCACACUUAAACAAAGAAGGGAAAUUCUACAGGUUAUUACCUCAAAGAUGCCCGUCUCCAGUCAUGCCAAUUUGGGUCUCCUUGCAGAAAUGACAGUUGGCUAUGUUGGUGCCGACCUGACAGCACUCUGUAGGGAGGCAGCCAUGCACGCUCUCCUUCACAGUGAAAAGAACCAAGACAAUCCUUUGAUUGAUGAAACAGACUUCCUUGAAGCUUUUAAGAAGAUUCAGCCUUCAUCAUUUCGAAGUGUUAUUGGAUUGAUGGACAUCAGGCCUAUUGAUUGGGAGCAGAUUGGUGGCCUUGAAGAUGUAAAACUGAAGUUAAAACAGAGCAUUGAGUGGCCUCUGAAAUUCCCUCAGGACUUUAUUAGGAUGGGCCUGACACAACCAAAGGGCCUUCUCCUCUAUGGGCCUCCUGGAUGUGCUAAAACCACCCUGGUGAGGGCCCUGGCCACAAGCUGUCACUGCUCUUUUGUUUCAGUGAGUGGAGCUGAUCUCUUUUCACCUUUCGUUGGAGAUUCAGAAAAAGUUUUGUCUCAGGUAUUUCGACAAGCAAGAGCAAAUACUCCAGCAAUUGUGUUUUUGGAUGAAAUUGACUCAAUCUUGGGGUCUCGCUCAGUUAGCAAAACAGGAUGUGAUGUUCAAGAGCGAGUUCUUUCCAUUCUCCUGAAUGAGUUAGAUGGUGUGGGACUUAAGACAAUAGAAAGAAGAGGAAGUAAAUCAAAUCUACAGGGUAAAUACCAGGAGCUGAAAAAAAUGAAGAGGUAUUUAUUAGCCAGAGCACAUAAAAAAUCCAGACCGACAUUAAAUCGAAUUCUUACCAUGCUCUUGCUUUACAUGUGCUGAUUUAUUUAGAGGGAUAUAUGUAAUUUCAUUUUGACUCUGUGUAAAAUAUAAACGUUAAUAAGAUUUUUAAAGGGCUGGUGGAAAUUGUGAUUUGGCGAGGAAAUGUGAAGUAAAUUUUAUAAUUAUCUUUGAUGUAUAUGAAUGUAAAUAUUGUUUUCCGAGUCUCUUUUCCAGCUAGAGUUUGAUUUCUAUUUAGUAUUCCUAGUAGAUAAUUUUUCAAUUAUAAGGCAUCCAUGAGAUUAUCAAACCAAAUCUUAAGAAUACAGGAAUUCCUCAUAUAGUAUUUGGCAAGUAUUCAUCCAUCCUCUGUUAAAGUAUUUGGAACUCCCUGCUUGGAGGGAUUAGAACACCGAAGAACAGUUCCAAUUAUUCAGUUCAACAAAUAAUUUUAAUUGCUUAUUGUAUACAAGGCCUUGCUCUGACUGCUUUUAGACAUUUCUUCUCUUCAUCCAGGAUUUACAUGCUUGCAGCUUAGGUUAUUUGUCAUUCUUUAUGUCUCUGGAAAGAAAAAUAAAAAGUAAAGUAAAUCCCCUUGGGGAUAGAUAACCAAGAAUUUUCAGAGCCUUACAUUUCUACUUGCUGAGUCAUUUGCUUCUGUCAUUUCAGGUAGUCCAUUUAAGUUGUAAUCAUUGAGGGUUCAAGUGUAUUCAGGUCACCAGAGUUUCAAGAAGUUUUUAAUCAAAAUGUCAUGAUUGUUGCUGCAACAAAUAGACCUGAUGUGUUAGAUGAUGCCUUAUUAAGACCUGGAAGAUUGGAUAAGAUCA